UACGUAGGGGGCAAGCGUUGCUCGGAAUCACUGGGCGUAAAGGGUGCGUAGGCGGGUCUUUAAGUCAGGGGUGAAAUCCUGGAGCUCAACUCCAGAACUGCCUUUGAUACUGGCGAUCUCGAGUCCGGGAGAGGUGAGUGGAACUGCGAGUGUAGAGGUGAAAUUCGUAGAUAUUCGCAAGAACACCAGUGGCGAAGGCGGCUCACUGGACUGGUAUUGACGCUGAGGUGCGAAAGCGUGGGGAGCAAACAGGG
rnacentral:rRNA from 1 species